CUACGGGAGGCAGCAGUAGGGAAUUUUCCGCAAUGGGCGAAAGCCUGACGGAGCAAUGCCGCGUGAAUGAUGACGGUCUUCGGAUUGUAAAGUUCUGUUCUCUGGGAAGAAGUUCUGACGGUACCAGAGGAGAAAGCCCCGGCUAACUACGUG
rnacentral:rRNA from 1 species